rnacentral:tRNA from 1 species
AGUUUUAUAGUUUAAGAAAAAACAACAGCCUCAUGAGCUGCCGAAAUAUGAGUUCAAAUCCCAUUAAAACUC